rnacentral:misc_RNA from 1 species
GGGCGCCCGGGCACGCGGUUCAUGUCCUGCGGCCACGCAUUCGUCAUGGUGGGGGACGCGAAGGAUCCGUUCUUCGUCGACAGCGACGCGGGGCUGCUGGGACAGUUCCGGCAUCAGUACUUUCUGCUGUUCCUGAUCCC